rnacentral:rRNA from 1 species
ACAUGCAAGUCGAACGGCAGCGCGGACUUCNGUCUGGCGGCGAGUGGCGAACGGGUGAGUAAUGUAUCGGAACGUGCCCAGUAGCGGGGGAUAACUACGCGAAAGCGUAGCUAAUACCGCAUACGCCCUUUGGGGGAAAGCGGGGGACCUUCGGGCCUCGCACUAUUGGAGCGGCCGAUAUCGGAUUAGCUAGUUGGUGGGGUAAAGGCCUACCAAGGCGACGAUCCGUAGCUGGUUUGAGAGGACGACCAGCCACACUGGGACUGAGACACGGCCCAGACUCCUACGGGAGGCAGCAGUGGGGAAUUUUGGACAAUGGGGGCAACCCUGAUCCAGCCAUCCCGCGUGUGCGAUGAAGGCCUUCGGGUUGUAAAGCACUUUUGGCAGGAAAGAAACGGCCCUGGUUAAUACCUGGGGCACUUGACGGUACCUGCAGAAU